rnacentral:rRNA from 1 species
AGAAUCAACGCUGGCGGCGUGCCUAACACAUGCAAGUCGAACGCGGUUACUUCGCAAGAGGUGACUGAGUGGCGAACGGGUGAGUAGCACGUGGGUGACCUACCUUCGAAUGGGGGAUAACGUCCCGAAAGGGACGCUAAUACCGCAUAACAUCCUGCCUUUGAACAGGUGGAGAUCAAAGCCGGGGAUCGCAAGACCUGGCGUUUGAAGAGGGGCCCGCGUCUGAUUAGCUAGUUGGUGAGGUAACGGCCCACCAAGGCGACGAUCAGUA